UGCAUAAUUGGGAAAGUGUGCUGAGGCCAUUUUGAAGGAUGCGUUUGGAGGAACGGUAGUUCUGAGUGCUGCUGAGUGAGUGUAGACAAGCUCGCCCUCACGCUGGUUUCUAUUCUGUUUUAGCACAUCAGGUCCACCCCUCUGGCCGGGCAGCACCUUCUUCAAGAGAAAUGGAGCCCUUCUACAAGCCCCCUGGAUGAGCUAAUGAAAUGGAAAGAAGACCUUCCAGGCCUUUUCAGUGCACAGAGCAGGACUGAGCUGCCGCAGGCCCGAGAGCAGAUAGGGGAAAGGAAACCAGCUCUUCUGCUGUCAGAUGCACGUUGUCCCCAUGAGCGCACAGAUGUGCUUGCCACUGGUGUGAAACGUGCAGGAAGUUGAUUAUGCCCAGUAGAUGACCUGCUUUGGGGAAUGCCAGCUUCCCAAGUUCUAGGCCGGCUUCAUGCGCUUAUUUUCCUGGGAGUCCUAUUAUGUAUUGCCCGCUCUCCACAACCCUUACGCCUUACCCUCUCCCAUAGCUCCGCAGUGGGUUUUUUCUGGUAAAAUGUAUGCAGUACCUCCCUUUGGUUGUGUUUGGGGCUGUGAAAGUCUCAGCAGCAAGUAGCCAGUACAUCAGAAACAAGCUCCUGUGGAAAGGAGCCCUGGAUUACCAGUGAGGGGACCUGGCUGUGGUCCCAACUCUACCACUUGGUAAACUCUGACCUUGGGCAAAACUCAGGCACCCCUAGGGUUUCAUGUUCUUGCCUGUGAAUUAAGGAGCGGACCUCAGGAGUGGCAGGGGUUUCCUGCGGAUUACAGCUCUGAGCCAUACUCGCAACUUCCCUAGAGGGGGUCAAGGGCUUUCCUGGUGGUCCAGUGGUUAAGACUCCGUGCUUCCACUGCAGGGUGCACAGGUUUGAUCCUUGGUCGGGGAAGAUCCUGCAUGCUGCGUGGUGCGACCAAAAAAAAAAAAAAAGACAAGAAAAAAUGAAAUAUAGUAAAGUGGGUCAAAAUGGUUUCGAGGCGUAGCUCAGCGGGAGGAGUGCUACCUUCAGCCAGCAGUGUCCGCGGAUGGCCCAAGGAGAGGAAACAGGGUGGUGGCUGGCUGGCUACAUCUUGAUCCUUGAACAAACCCUUUCUCAGACCCUUUCUCAUGGAUCGUAGGAAGGCAACAUACUACAGAUUUGGACAACCUGGAAAGGACCCAUCUUGGCCUCGUGGGCACCUGGCUUAACCCUCUCUGUGGGGAUAAUAAUAAACAUGCUUGCCGUAUGGGGUUCUUAUAGGACUCAAUGAAUUCAUAUCAGUAAAGCCCUGAGAACAGGCUGAAUUCCCAUAGUUAUUAUAUCAUUGUACAAAACUAUGAAUCUUAGGAAAACAGGGCUAGCAUCCUCUGAAUGUGGUGUCCCUGUGCUGUUUCUCUUCUCUGCUAAAAUUUCCCUUGUCCAUUUGUUGGGGCUAGUGAUUCUCAGAACAGGGCAAAAGAUGGGAUACCCCAGAUCCUAUUGGAUUUAUAUGUGGAUCUGAAAGACAACUUGUUCAACUCUUUAUAUCAGAUUCCUUUCAAAUAGGACUGCUUCCGUGUGAGGUCCCCCAGCUCACAAAGACUGAGUUAUACCCCUUGCUGUACAGUUGUACAUACCCAGCAGGUGCAUAGAUGACCACGCAAAAAAGCACGGAUUCAGCACCACAUCAGCCCAGGUUUAAAUCCCUCUCUCUUUGGGCACCCAGUUGUUUGACCUUGGGCCUCAGUUUCAAGUGUCUGUAAAAUGGGGCUACGAGUUGUGCUCCCCAGAAUCUUUGCAGAGAUUAAAGGAAGGUGUGAACGUGGAAACAUUUGUCCAGUCCAGUGCCUGGCCUGGCACCUCACAAACACUUAAUAAAGAGUGAAGUUAACCUU